UUAAAACCAACAUUAAAUAAAGUGUUCAGUACCGAUAAGCCAAUAAAAUACAAAUAAAAGCAAAACCAUAAAACAUUAAAACCAUUAACAUAAAACCACGAAAAGAAACCCAACGAUUUCCUAUGCACACCAGCUCAGAGACCCUUCAUUUCUGAUCCCAAAUCUCCAGUGAAGGUUCAAAAAUGAAGAAUGUCCAUGAAAUUGCUGCUUAGAUUCACAAGUACAGCUUUCUCAUACCACGAAGAGGUUACGAAUCGGCGCGAUUGAUCCUCAUUUCCUCCAUCGCCACUGUUUCCCGUAUCAUCGUUGGGCCCUCUUCCGCCCAUUGCAUGUCACGUUUCCGGCGAAAGUCUUCCUUGGCUAAUAUGUGAGCAACUCGAUUCCCUCCCCUUUUUAUAUGCUAAAAUUUAAACUUCUCAAAACCCAUAAGUAACUACUUGGCUUCCCCUGUAUAUAUAUGCUAACCUCCGAUCUAUCCAAAUGUUGCGCCUUUAUUUUUGAGAUGACCACCAUUGAAUCCCCGUGACUUUACGAAAACCCAUGUCCUGGGCAAAACGAACAGCUUGAACUGCAGCCAAAGCCUCCGCCGCUUCAGGUCACUGCAAAAACCCUCGUCAAAGUUGGCCUUAACCCAUCGGGUCUUUGGAGGGGUCCAUCGCACAGGCUGAUCUUGGCUAGCCUUUGGUGCAAAUAUGUUUUUUAGACUUUAGGUUAGGGAUGAAGGGAAAAGGCACAACCAGCAUAUUCCAAGAAUUUGAUAGAGUUUUGAAAGGAUAUAAGUUUUGAGAGGAUGAUAGACUUUAGGCCUCUUCAGUUUUCUUUCUAAAUUUUCUGUCAUUUGAUUUCUUUUUUUCUUUAUAUUUUCAUUUUUAUUUUCCUUUACUCCUAGCCAAAACCAAGACACUGUCUAGGCUAUCAAUAGUAGGACAGCUGCCAUGCAUUUACACCUAGCUAGCAUAUUUCUUUUUUAUUUUCCUUUACAGGUAGUAAGACAAGCAGGACAACUGUUAGGAAUUAAGAUCAAUUUAUUCCUAAUCACUCUUUAAUGGGAGUAAUGUAUGACUUAAUAUGCAAUAGGUACUUGAAAUUAAAGCUCAUAAAUGAAAUUCAUUAUACUGGUUAAAUAUAUAUAUAA